rnacentral:misc_RNA from 1 species
GGAUAGCAGGAAGAAAAGCAUGAAUGGUGACUGUAUAAGACCAAUCUGGUUCCUAAAGUGGAAGCAAUUAAACAAUGGAACUCCACGAAUGAGCAAAAUGGGUGUCACGGCCAGACCCACUGAAGGUUUCUGGGAGGAUAUCCGGCCAAUCAAAAUGAGGUGGUCGCCGUGGACACCCAGAAUCGGAUUAGAAAAGUCUGGAUCUCUGAGAGAGAUGGAU